rnacentral:tRNA from 1 species
GCCGAAGUGGCGGAACUGGCAGACGCGCACGACUCAAAAUCGUGUUCCUUCGGGAGUGUGGGUUCAAGUCCCACCUUCGGUACCA